rnacentral:lncRNA from 1 species
UUUUUUUUUUUUUUUGGAACUAAAAUAAAAGUAAGGUUAGUAAUGUUAAACAUACUUAGUAACUGUCAGCAAGUUUAAGGAGCAUUGAUUUAACCAUAGAAAUGAAAUACUUUGCGUAAGCCAUGGGUUAGUGAGGAAAACUACCUCAGUCCUCCCCCUCAUUCCUCCUCUUUGUCCUCUUUCAGCUACACUUUGCCCAUUCUCCCUAGCUCCACACCCUCUUACACUGCUGUGCAAAGUCACUGCCCCUCAGAAAAGUUGAAAAUGCCCUUAGGCAUGCAACAAUGGCAGAAUAAUCUCCUUAGAAUUUUACAAAUGCUUUAUCUUUAUCUGAUUCAUGGAAUAAUGACCUUGUUUCAAGCCCCACAGUUCAUGGGCAUCCCCUAGCUUUAUUAUGAUCUGGGGCUAAAAUUAACACUCAAAAACAAAGAAAGUACAAUCCCUGAUAGUUGUGAGAGAAAGUAGACAGUUGUAAGCAAUAUUUCCAGCAAAUAAAAAACAUACUGGGCAAUGGAAAUAAAACAUUAGUAUUUAGUAGAAGAAAGAAAAUUAGGGAGAGUCAUUUUAAAGAAUAUUAUUAGUAUUACAGAAUAUAUGAUUAGAAAAAUUAAUCAUGUAGACUUUUUGAAUUUACCAACUUAAUUUUUGUCAUGUACAAUAGAAAUUAUGCCAUGUCAAAGAAAAUGACCAUUUCCUAAUACUUCCCACAACUAAUAAAAGGUAAAUCUUAAAUACAGUAUGCCUUGAUACCACUAUUCUAAAAUAUGGACACACUCAAGACAGUCAUACAAUGAACAAACAGAAUGAGAACUAAAAAUGCCUCUUCUGCAUAAGCAAAUGUGCUCAAACUCAAGUCAUGCUAAGAUAAGUGCAGAUAAAGUUAUACUGAGAUACAUAUUUUUAACCUAUCAGAUUUACAGAGAUCAACAAAUUAGAGUACAUAGUUGGCCAGGCUGGUUGAUGAAUAAAUUGCUGAGAUCUAUCACAGUUACAAGUACUCACCUUUCUUGUUCUAACAGUUCAAGCUCUAGGAGUUCAUUCUCCAGAUAUACUAGAACAUCUGCAAAAUGAUAAUAUCUACAAGGUUACCAAUUAUAGCAUUUCAUAUGAUUCAACAUAGUAGCAAAAAAUUGAAAAAAAAUCAAAUAUGCAAAGUAGAGAAUUGAUUAAAAUAUUCUCCUACAAUGUGAUGCUACACAUCCAUAGCAAAUAAUGAGGAAGAUCUCAGUGAACUCAUGUAAAAUAAAAAUACCUCUCAACUAUAUUAAGGGGAAAAAACCAAGGGACUAUGUAUAAACUACUUAAAAACAUACAUAGUUUAUAUAACAUGCCACCAUUUGUUUAAAGAGAAGACAAAAAUAAUAUAUGAGUGCAUUUUUAUCAAAGAUCUAGGAAUGAACAGGAAAGAAUGGACAGCACUGGUUGUUGGUGGGAGAAGGGGGGAAGUGGGUGAGUGGGUGGAGAAUUAGGUGGAUAAGUAAAAGAGAGGGAGAAAGACCUUCCUUUUUUCUUCUUUGCCUAUUGCAUUUUGAAUCAUGGGAAUAUAUUACCUUUAAAAAGUAAACAUAGAUUAUUAAAACAUAAAGUCAAUUUUACUAGCUCUAAAGUAAAUUGUUGAUAUACACUUACAAUUUAUAAUACACAUAUUGACAUUUAAAACUGUCUUAAAACUUAAUUUUAUAGUAGGUAAUAGCACCACUACUAUACUAAUCUUUUUUUUUUUUUUCUGGCCACACAUGCGGCAUGUGGAAGUUCCUAGGCUAGGGAUCAAACCCACGCCACAGCAGCAACCCAAGAAACAAUCCCCAUAUUCCGAAUAAUUUCUAAAAUUUGACCUUUGCCGAGAUUUCUCCCACCACAAGAAGAAAAUUUCUGAUUCAUAAUCAGCAAUCUUUCUCGCCAUUGGUGAACAAUGACUCUUAAGCAUAUUCGGUUCCACCUGGGCCACGGUCAACUAAGGACAUCCAAAAGUUUCAGUUGUGUUUGGGUUUGUGCAGGAGUCAGACAUUUUCCUGCUCCUAAUCAUGACCCUACACUCAGAUAGGAGACCAAAACCUGUGCCUGCACUAAGCUAAAAACCCAGAUUAGGGUUGUAUAUGUACUUUAGAGAGAAGCAAGAGGAGUUAAUAUCAUUGGAAUGAAUCUGAUAGUUGGGGGGGGGGGCGGAUGACUAGGUAGCAGAGAAAAUGGAUGGUUGGUACAUUUUUUUCCCCAAAUCCUGGAAGAUCAGGCUGAAUGAAAAAAAUAUGUUCUUCCACUUAUGCUGCAUUUCUUUUACGUCAACGCUCUAUUUAAAUCCGCUGUCCCAUGAACCAGCCGAAGAGUCAUAAUUUAUCUAACAGAGACAAAAUCUGACGACAGGAUAUCUCUCCAACCCAAUGUUGGAUUUGUUGACACUUGAGAUGAAACUCAGGAACUUUUAUUUAAAUAGAAUUGUCACUGUAUUUUAGUUUAACUGAUAACAUUACAGUUUGGGUGGAAAUGCUGUUUGUGUGGUUAAAACUUCAGACUGUUUGCCAGGAAGUCUGUCUUUUAAACUUUGAUGACGGUCUUAUUUGUUAGAAAUAAGACAGGCUCUGAGAGAGAACAAGAGAACGGAGUGUGAAGGUUACAAACACCAAGUGGGGUGGGGAGAGAACCGAGGAUAUGGACAAUUAAAAAAUAACAAAAUCUGCUUUCUGCAAGCCAUGUGCUUUGAGAAACACAUGGUAACCUGAAUGACUCAGACACUGCCUCCUCUUUCUGUUGUAUUGUGUAUGGAUCUGCUUGUGUAAUAAACCCUCAACUUCCAUUUGGAAGUACAUAAGUGAUAUUUAAUUUUCCUUCUAUUGAAUUAAAAAUGUUGUUUAUUUCCGUUCCUGAGAUUUUUAUGAAGGCUGUGGGGCUGAACCAUGCAUAUAUUAUUUUUUUCUUUUUUAGAAAAAGAAUUGAGAAUAUUUGAUUGCUAAAUACAGAGCUGGGAAUGAUUCACAGAAUGUGAUGGCUGAGGAGGAGGAAGUGGUGGUGUGCUGCUUGAAGACAUGCAAAUACAGUGUUUUAGGUCAUGUCUUAGCAGAUGAGUUUCCAGUAUAUGCUUUACUUAUCCUUCUUCGUAUCUCUAAAGAAUAUGAGGUAUUUACUGACUCCUUUUCCGGGAGUGAAAUUGGGAUUCCCAACUGGAAACUACAAAAGUUCACAAAGAUAACUGGGGAGUGGCAGUUGGCUCCUAGAAACUUCACUGAUGAAUCGUUUGGAAGUAAAUUGGAGUACUAGAAUUAAGACUUGGCUAUGUCUCUCUGUAUGGAGAGAGAUACAGAAUUAUGAGCUGGAAAAAACUUUUGAAAUAUAGUUAAAAUAUUUUACAAAAACAUUUUAUAUGAAGAGAACAAAAUAUAGAAAUUUAAAGAUUUAGCUUAAAUCCUUUGAUUUGUACCUGCACAAUCAAUGACUUGCAUUUGGCGGUGGCGGGGGGGGGGGGNGGGGGGGGGGGGUCAUGUACAAUGAAUGGUAUCAUUUUGAAUUGUCUUUCAAGUCUGAUAAUCCCCAUACAUAACCUUUCCAUUAAAAAUGUCUCUGAUUUUCAAUGGAUUUACUGUUUUCAACAAAGUUUGGAUCAGGAAAUUUGCCUUUAGCUUAAGGCUUUUCUGACCUUCAAAAUCAAGGGCCUCCAUCCUAAUCCUACUUCCCUCUCAUGCUCCCUAAACUGACAUUGCAGAUGCACCUGGGCUGUGGUACGUGCUUCAAAGCUGGUUUGGAAAAGGAGCCAAAGGUGUCACCAUAUCAGACAAAUAUUUCUUCAUCAGUUUACGUCUGGUUUCUAAACCAUGGAGAAUGAAAGCUAAGCGUCUAAGACAAGGCCAGUUCAAUGGAGAGAAAAGCAUAUUGACAAGUAGCGGGUACUAUGGUGGGCACAGAAGUCAGACAGUAGAAUAUCUAUGAAGAAAUGGUCAUGGGGGUUAAAUAUUCCCUUUGAUCUCAAGAAUCUACAGCUGAGGAGUUCCCCUGACUGACGAUUCCACUUAUAGCCUGGCCUUUAAACCUUCAAUAAUGAGAAACACUUAGCUCCGUUUAUUCAGUUCAUCUUUAUCGAGCACCAUAGACACAAACAGGGCUAUCUCAGGUGGACUACAGUGUUCCUUUAGGUGACUUGAAACCCUGUUCCCAUAGUUACAAUAGCUCAUCACUGAUCUUUAGGAUGUAUCCAUAUGCUUUCUUCUCUGUUACCAAUCAUUUUAUUUUCACACUUGGAAAAGUUUGUUAGCAUGUAAACAGCUUGAUUCUCAAGUCAGCAAAUCAGAGGAUUUAAAUGUAUGUAGGAAAAAUGCAAAAUGUUAUGGCAGUUUGUAGAUUUGAAAUAAUACUUUGCGCUUUCCUUCUCAUGGCCUUUGUGUGCUCCAGCCCCUUCCUCUACCUCUCUGUACCUCAUUAUAUGCUCAUACAAGUGUACAUAUGUUCACACAUUGAAUGGUAGUGAGAGAUGGCCUUUUUCUCUACGACAGAACUUUAAAAACAUGCAAGUAUUUUUGCCCUCUGCAAAGGUCCCAUAGAUAAUCAAGGUAAUUUUUUUUCUUUUUUAAAGUAUCAAUGAUAGUCUGAGAGGUGUCAUUUCUAAGUUUCGUUUGAGCAAACUGUGGAGAUUGUCAUAUUUGGCCAGGUGACCCUCAAGCUCUAGUUUGAAGCAGAGAUUGGGGUGUGAAUCAAGAGCACCUACCUGUGUGAUGGCCAGCAGUCUAUGAGAUGAUCUGAUGUGAGAUUUCUUCUAGAAGCUCUGCUCACACCAGAUAGUGAGAAAAUAAUUAGAGGCUUUCUUUCCUGGUAAGUGCUUUCUAAUCAGAUACAUUC